UUAUCCGGAAUUAUUGGGCGUAAAGCGUCCGUAGUGGUUAUUCAAGUCUGCUGUCAAAGCGUGGGGCUUAACUCCAUAGAGGCAGUGGAAACUGAGUGACUAGAGUGCGGUAGGGGUCGAGGGAAUUCCCAGUGUAGCGGUGAAAUGCGUAGAUAUUGGGAAGAACACCAGUKGCGAAAGCGCUCGACUGGGCCUGCACUGACACUGAGGGACGAAAGCUAGGGGAGCGAAAGGGAUUAGAUACCCCUGUAGUCCUAGCCGUAAACGAUGGAUACUAGGUGUUGCUCGUCAUCGACCCGAGCAGUGCCGUAGCCAACGCGUUAAGUAUCCCGCCUGGGGAGUACGCUCGCAAGAGUGAAACUCAAAAGGAAUUGACGGGGGCCCGCACAAGCGGUGGAGUAUGUGGUUUAAUUCGAUGCAACGCGAAGAACCUUACCAGGGCUUGACAUGUCCGGAACCUUGCCGAGAGGUGAGGGUGCCUUCGGGAGCCGGAACACAGGUGGUGCAUGGCUGUCGUCAGCUCGUGUCGUGAGAUGUUGGGUUAAGUCCCGCAACGAGCGCAACCCACGUUCUUAGUUGCCAGCAUUGAGUUGGGCACUCUAGGGAGACUGCCGGUGACAAACCGGAGGAAGGUGUGGAUGACGUCAAGUCAGCAUGCCCCUUACGUCCUGGGCUACACACGUACUACAAUGCUGUGGACAAAGGGCAGCCAGCCAGCGAUGGUGAGCUAAUCCCAGAAACCACGGCUCAGUUCAGAUUGCAGGCUGCAACUCGCCUGCAUGAAGGAGGAAUCGCUAGUAAUCGCAGGUCAGCAUACUGCGGUGAAUACGUUCCCGGGCCUUGCACACACCGCCCGUC
rnacentral:rRNA from 1 species